rnacentral:lncRNA from 1 species
AGAUAGACGCGCAUCUGUGAGCAGCAGAGGGGCUCAUAUUCAGGGGCUAACUCUGCCAGCUGUGUGGUGAGAGGGAGCUGCCACCGCUUGAUCUGUUCAUCUGUAAUGAGGGAGUCUUAGAAGCUUCACUCACCACAGUGAACUGUUGUAGGAGUUAAAGGGAGGCGUCUACAAAGCAUGCUGGGAACUGAAAAGGCCUUUCUGUAGAAUGAAGCAACAUUUUCAAAACUUACGAUUUAAGCCACAUUUCACUCUUGGGCAGAUGAAAUAAAUGACUGGCUGACGGGAGCAUGAAGGAGGAGGAGGAGGAGGCACACAUAGAAAUAAAUGACUGGCUGACGGGAGCAUGAAGGAGGAGGAGGAGGNNNNNNNNNNCAACCAGAAGAGGGAGCAGUUACAUCAACUCAUACUCCUGCUCCUGAGAAAGCCCUCGGGCUCAUAGAAGCGUUACCACUCCAACCUGAGGAGAGGAAAGAAAAUAAAGAAAACUAUCUAAGUGACUAUCAGCAACCUAUCUGCUCACAACUAUCAAGAUCACACUUGGACAGUCUCCCUCAGGACACUACAUUGUCACCUCCAGACAAGCCCUCCAUACAAGCUCAGGAUGUUCAGUGCCUCUUGCUGGCUACAAGGAGAGCAAGGCAGGUCCAGGUUUGCUUCAGUCUCUGUGGUAGUUUAAAUAUGCUUGGAGCAUGGGUAGUGGCACUAUUAGGAGGUGUGGCCUUGUUGGAGGAAGUGUGUCGCCGUGGAGGUGGGCUUAAUCAGGUUCUGCCCAAUGUGGAAAAGAGUCUCCUUCUGGCUGCCUGCAGGAGACAAUCUGAUCUUAGCAGCCUUCAGACCAAGAUGUAG